rnacentral:lncRNA from 1 species
AAAUGGAGCUUCAUUCUUUUUGUCCAGGCUGGAGUGCAAUGGCACGAUCUCAACUUACUGCAACCUCUGCCUCCCGAGUUUAAGUGAUUCUCCUGUCUCAGCCUACCAAGUAGCUGGGAUUACAGGCAUACGCCACCACGCCCAGCUAAUUUUUGUAUUUUUAGUAGCGAUGGGGUUUCACCAUGUUAGCCAGGCUGGUCUCAAACUCCUAACCUCAAGUGAUCCACCCGCCUCGGCCUCCCAAAGUGCUGGAAUUACAGUGUGAGCCACCGCGCCUGGCCUGUUUGUUUUUUGAGACAAGGUCUUGCUCUGUCGCCCAGUCUGGAAUGGCAGGAUCUCCUGGGAGGCCUUUGCCUUCCAGCUUCAAGCGAUUCUCCUGCCUCAGCCUCCUGAGUAGCUGGGACUACAGGCGCCCGCCACCACAUCCAGCUUAUUUUUGUAUUUUUAGUAGAGAUGGGGUUUCAUCAUGUUAGCCAGGCUGGUCUCAAACUCCUGGGCUCAAGUGAUCUGCCUGCCUCAGCCUCCUAAAGUGCUGAGAUUAUAGGUGUGAGCCACUGGGCCUGGUCCAUUUUCUAAAUUAGAGGUUUCUUUUUAAGUUGGAAUUUAUUUAUUUAUUUAUUUAUUUAGAGACAGGUUCUUGCUCUGUUGCCCAGGUUGGAGUGCAGUGGUGUGAUCUCGGCUCACUGCAGCCUCCACCUCCCCAGCUCAAGCGAUCCUCCCACCUCAGCCUCUCAAGUAGCUGGGAUUAUAGGCAAGUGCCAGCACACCUGGUUAAUUUUUUCAUUUUUUUGUAGAGAUAGGGUCUCACUCUAUUGCCCAGGCUGGUCUCGAACUCCUGGGCUGAAGUGAUCCACCUGCCUUGGCCUCCGAAGGUGCCGGGAACACAGGCAUGAGCCACCGUGCUGGGCCAAUAAUUUUUUUUUUUUUUUUUUUUUUGACAUAGAGUCUUGCUCUGUCAUCCAGGCUGGAGUGCAGUGGUGUGAUCUCAGCUCACUGCAACCUCUGCCUCCUGGGUUCAAGAGAUUCUGCUGUCUCAGCCUCCCGAGUAGCUGGGAUUACAAGCACGCACCACCAGGUCUGGCUAAUUUUUGUAUUUUUAGUAGAGAUGGGAUUUCACCAUGUUGGUCAGGCUGGUCUCGAACUCCUGACCUCGUGAUCCGCCCACCUCGGCCUCUCAAAGUGCUGGGAUUACAGGCGUGAGCCACCGCACCCGGCCCAAGAAAUUUUUUUUAAAGCAGUUCCCAUAGAGCACAGAUAAGGGCAAAAUCAGGAAGUUUCCUGGAGAGAUGACAGGUCUGGAAUCGCUAGGUCACAGUCACACUGAUCCAGUGGCAGAAGUGCCUGCGGGAGGCCUCAAUUCGGAUGCGCUGUGUGACCUCUGUUGAGAAACCUACCCUCUCUGGACCUCGCCUGUCACGGUAUAGGUACAAGAGCCCUCCGGGGCACCCUCCAAGCUCUGGCUCUAUAAUUACUCCUGGGAUGAGAGGACAGCUGAUCCCUCGCGCCCAGCAGGGGCCACUCAAGCUGUGACCUAGUUUUACAACCCUGACUCCCCCACUCGACGGCCUGGCCCUGUCAUUUCCUCUGCAGGGUGCUGCCGGGGAGGCAGGAGGGGGGAUCUGGCAGCUGGACUCAGGCUUCUGACAUGUCCCCUAAGGGUCUGGUGUUCCCCAACUUGGGAGGAAGAACUGGUUCCUGGAGAGGGGACAUGGGAGACUCGAUUCUGUGUACACGGCCUGCAUCUGCUCACCAUGUGCCCUGAAUGCAUCCGGUUGUCCUCCCUGGUCUCUUAUUUUUUAUUUUAUUUUAUUUUUUUUUUGAGAUGGAGUCUCGCUCUGUCGCCCAGGCUGGAGUGCAGUGGUGCGAUCUCGGCUCACUGCAAGCUCCACCUCCCAUGUUCAAGCAAUUCUCCUGCCUCAGCCUGCCGAGUAGCUGGGACUGCAGGCGCCCACCACUAUGCCCG